GUUUAAUUAAUUUUAAAUAUUAACCAGAUGUGUUAAUAAAUCAAUCUUUUUCAUUAACUAAAAUUCUUUUAAAAAUCAUAAAUAAAUAUUCCAUCGUAAUUAAAUUUGAUUAUAAUGGCAUCGCCAGGGAGACAGCCAGCGGUGCCACUUCCAAUUCUAAAAUCUAUCUUUUCUAAAUACAAAUUUGAGAUUCAACAAAAUCUAAACCACUCGUCAGCAACAAUCUGGAAGAUAAUAAGCAAGGAGUUAUUAGCUAUGAUGAGCCCAAAACUACUCUAUAAUUAUGCCUCACAAAAUCGAAAUAAUUGUCUAGAUAUUUUGGAAAUACAGAAAGAAGAAAAAUUCCCCGAGAUUAUGUCGUCAGACUCAAGUGACGACGGCGAAGAUAAUGUCAAAGUAAAAAAGGAUAUAUUUGAAAUUUCUAUGACAGGGGAAGAAUGGAAUCAAAUAUAUCCGAAUGCGGAUAACCCAAAUCGGUUAAAAAUGGGUUGGACCCAUGUGCUUGAAAAAAUAAUUUCUAGUCAAUUGAAAAUACCCUGUUUAUGGGUAUUUUCUAAUAAUUAUGUAUCUCUAAAUUCAAUAUAUUUAAUAAAAAUUAAGGCUUUUUGUAAACAAUGUUCAGCUGUGUUAUUAAUUAAAAAAUUAAAUACUUUAAAUAAUAUAUAUAUAAAAUUUAUAUGUGAAAUAUAUAAUUAUAAAACAGAAUUGCAUAAUAAUAUUUAUAAAAGACCAUUAAGUGGGAUAAAAAGGGAAGAGGUUGCUAAUGAAUUACAAAAAGAUUUAGCCAUAAACUGGCGCUUGAAAAAAGCAAAUGAAACCAUGGAAUAUGGUGAAUUGGAACUUUAUAUUCCUUGGAUGUCCUACGUAAAUGCAAACAAUCCAUUUCUAAUAAAUAUAACAUUAAAUCGGAUAGCGUAAUCAAUCAGUUAUUAUAUCUAAAAUAUACUCAACCAUAUUUACCCAGUAUAAUCAAUAUAUCCUGUGACAAAUUUUUUAUGCACUACUGGUUACCAGAACAAAUGAUAACUUUUAAUAAAUAUUGCCAAGAUACUAACGUAUCCAUACUACAAAUAGAUGCCACAGGGACCUUAGUAAAAAAAAUUAAGUCGACCUUAUGAUCAAACAUCUGGGCAUAUUUUUCUAUACAUAGGAGUAAUCGAUUUAAAAGUAAAAUCUGGGCAAAUACCUGUAGUUCAGAUGUUAUCAGAAGCCCAUGAUAUUAACCACAUUUCACACUGGCUGAAUGUAUGGGUGCAUAGAGGUGCUAAAAUACCUAAAAUUGUUGUAAUUGAUCAUUCAUUAGCUUUAUUGGGGGCUGUUGCCAGAUCGCUAGCAAAUUUUAUUGAUCUUAAGUCAUAUAUUGAAUAUUCAUUUAAUAUAAUAUUAGGUCAAAAAUUGCUGACCCCUAGGAUAUUUAUUAGAAUAGAUUAUGCUCAUUGUAUCAAACUAAUAAGUAGAUGGCCUAGUUUAUAUAAAAAACCUCGUUUAUUUAGAGAAUUUUAUAUACGUUCCGUUGCAAUGCUAAUAAAAUCCGCUU